rnacentral:rRNA from 1 species
GUAUAGCAAUAGCUACUUGCAUCAUAGUAGAUAUGAUGCAAGAUCGACUAUGUUGAAUAAAAUUCUAGGUAGAAUUAUGAUAAUGACAUUGUCUGCCUAUGUGUCUUGACCAAAUUACGUGCCAGCAGUCGCGGUAAUACGUAGAAGACUAGUGUUAUUCAUGUUUAAUCGGUUUAAAGGGUACCUAGACGGUAGAUCAAGCUUUCUAAUAAAGGAAAAGGACUAAUUUACUAGAGUUACUUAUGAGGGGGUAUUAAAGUACUGCUGGUGUAGAGAUGAAAUUCUGUCAUACCUCUUUUCAAAAGAAAAACCAUGGCACAGGUAUAGGCGAAGGCAUCCCCUUAUGUGAUAACUGACGUUGAGGGACGAAGGCUUUGUGUAGCGAACAGGAUUAGAUACCCCAGUAGUCGAAGCAGAAAAUGAUGAAUGUCAUAGAUUAGAUAUAUAAGUUUAUUCUAUAAAUGAAAGUGUAAGCAUUCCACCUCAUGAGUAAUUUGGCAACAUUGGAACUGAAAUCAUUAGACCGUUUCUGAAACCAGUAGUGAAGUAUGUUGUUUAAUUUGAUGAUCCGCAAAAAACCUUACCACAAUUUGAAUAUUUAUAUUAUUUAUUGUUUUAUUAUUAAUAUUCUUAUAGUAWGAAUUAUUGUUUUAUUAUUAAUAUUCUUAUAGUAAGAAUAUUAAUAAAGAGGCAAUAAGAUAUAUUUACAAGCGUUGCACGGCUGUCUUCAGUUAAUGUCGCGAGACUUUGGUUAGUUCCAUUAAAUUAACGUAAACCCUUACUUUAUUUUUAUAUAGAGUAGUUCCCCGCUAUAUUGGAUAUGAUAACAGG